UACGGAGGGUGCAAGCGUUAUCCGGAUUUACUGGGUUUAAAGGGUGUGUAGGCGGGCUGUUAAGUCAGUGGUGAAAUCUCCGGGCUCAACCCGGAAACUGCCAUUGAUACUAAUGGUCUUGAAUUUUGUUGAGGUAGGCGGAAUAAGUCAUGUAGCGGUGAAAUGCAUAGAUAUGACUUAGAACACCAAUUGCGAAGGCAGCUUGCUAAACAAAUAUUGACGCUGAGGCACGAAAGCGUGGGAUCAAACAGG
rnacentral:rRNA from 1 species